UAGCCAGUCUCUCCCAGAUACCUGAUGU
rnacentral:piRNA from 1 species